rnacentral:rRNA from 1 species
GUGUCGUCAGCUCGUGCCGUGAGAUGUUGGGUUAAGUCCCGCAACGAGCGCAACCCUCGACCUUAGUUGCCAGCAUUCAGUUGGGCACUCUAAGGUGACUGCCGGCUAAAAGUCGGAGGAAGGUGGGGAUGACGUCAAAUCAUCAUGCCCCUUAUGACCUGGGCUACACACGUGCUACAAUGGGCGGUACAAAGGGUCGCGAACCCGCGAGGGGGAGCCAAUCCCAAAAAGCCGCUCUCAGUUCGGAUUGCAGGCUGCAACUCGCCUGCAUGAAGCCGGAAUCGCUAGUAAUCGCGGAUCAGCAUGCCGCGGUGAAUACGUUCCCGGGCCUU